rnacentral:lncRNA from 1 species
AGUGCUGGGAUUACAGGCGUGAGCCACCGUGCCCACCUCACAAUAUGUUUUUUUAAUCCCAAAUGAUAACAUCUCUUUUUCUAUAACUUUUCUAUCAUUAUUUUUCUUCCAGAUAUUUUAGUGUGAGAAAAUAAUUUUCUGUUCAAAUGCCAUUGUCCAAACUGUCAGAGAUACUAUCUUAUAAGGAAUUAUUAUUGGAAGGAAACAAAAUCAGUUUAUAUAUCAAUACUGGUGGAUCUUGAGAUACUUAGAAAACUAGGUCACAUCCCCUCAGUUAUGAGAUCAGAGGGGAACUUAAAAGAAAGAAGACUUUUACCUUGUUAGAAAGUUAAAAUCAAGUGUGAACUCUUUUUAUGUAGACAUCUUCUGUGUGAGUUUAUUUUUUAAGGACUUUUAUUUAUCUUUUUUUUUUUUUUAAGAGACAGGGUCAGCCAGGCAGUGGCAUGAUCACGAUCAUAGCUCACUGCAAUCUUGAACUCCUGGGUUCAAGCCAUCCUCCAGCCUCAGCCUGGACUGCAAGGCAUAUGCCACCACACUUGGCUAAUUUUUUAAUUUUUAUGUUCUUUUUUUUUUUUUUUUUGUAGAGACAGAGUCUCACUAUGUUGCCCAGGCUGGUCUUGAAUUCCUGGCCUCAAGUAACCCUUGCAUCUCCACCUCCCAGAGUGCUGGGAUUACAGGCAUGAGCCAUCAUGCCCAGCUGAGGACCUUUAAAAGAGCAACUCCUCCCUGUCUCAAUUCCUCUGAGCUGCUUGUAUUGGCACAGUGACAUGCAAUUGAAAUUUCAUUUUCAAGCCAUAAUAAAUGGUAUACUGAAAAUUUCCCCUAUUUGUUAGUUACAAACAAAACAAUUCUGUCUUUUCCUCCACUUCUAGAAUAUUUUCAAAUUGGUCAUAUAGGAGGUCAAAAGAAAUCUCUAUGAAUUCAUGUUUGACAAUCUAUAAAGUAUGUUUCAGCUGGGACUGCUAACAGAAAAGACUGAUGUGAACCUGAUAUCACCAAUGGCUACUUUAUGGGACCUGAAAAGAGCUUCAUAGAGGAUUUCAGAGCCAUUUAGCCCUAGGUCCAGCUGUGCCUGAAACCAUCUUUCCUUGAACACUUCAGUUAUAUGAGACAAAAAAGUCUCCUUUUCACUUAAGCCAAUUUGAAUUGAAUUCUAGCACUUGCCACUCACAUGGACAUUUUAUCAAGUGUCAAGGGCAACAAGGAGUUACACUGAGUUCCCCCAGAGAAGGAAGGAGAAAGAUAGAAGCACAAGGGAAGCUAAUGUUUAGAUCACAAGAUAGAAACUGCUGCCCAGGAGGAGAGAAAAAACCCCUGAGGUUGGAAGAACGCAGGGUGUCUGAUUAAUGAAUGGCAGGGCUAUCCUCCCACUCAGCUGCCCUGGAGGAUUCCACAGAAAUGGCACAUGCAUGCCUGUGAUUUGUUCCUUAAGUGCCUCAGCCUUAAGAGCAGUAGUAAUGCCUGUGACCAAUCCUGUGGUCAGUGUAGGGUAUAGGGCUCCCAAAAUAUUGUGCCAUGGCCUAACAGGGUUAUCCAGUUGCCUCAGUGUGCUGUAAAUUUUUUUUUCAUUUUUACUGUAUUCCCUGAUGUAAAAAAAGAGAUUGGAAAGCACUAGAAGAGGAUUGCCAUGUGAGGUUUCUAUCAUAGAGCUUGUAGCAGACAAAUCAUCAUCCCCCAAAGAUGUCCAUGUCCUAAUUCCUAGAACCUGCGAAUAUGUUGGGUUACCUGGCAAGGGGGAAUUAAGGUGGCAGAUGGAAUUAAGUUUGUUAAUCAGAUGGCUUCAAAAUAAGGAGAUUAUUCUGGAUUAUCCAUGUGGACCCAGUGUAAUCACAAGGGUUUUUAAAUGGGAAGGAGGGAGACGGAAGAAUUAGAAUCUCUGGGAGAUGGCAUCAUCCUGAGAAAGACUGGAGCUGCCCUUGCUGGCUUUGAAGAUGGAGGAAGGGGCCACUAACUGGGGAAUGCAGCCAGCUUCACGAAGCUGGAAAAGCAAAAGUCCAUCUGAGACCUGCUUUCAUUGCACUGCCUCGUGAGGAGCUGUAGGAGAAGAUAUCAUAACUAUUCCCCACUUCUAAUUGUUAGAAGCAACAGCUGUCUAUCAAGAACAAUCUGAGGAUUGUGCACAAAUUGAUUUGGUUCUAUCAAGUGCUGGCUUUCGAUUCCAGUCUGACUUCACUACCACAGGAGCUUCUUGCUCAGGCUUCUGUUCCGGCUCCAUUCUCUCCCUGCCAUUAUAAUGCCAUCCACUGCAGCACCAUCUCUUCAAUCAGAAAACAUUCAUGAUCUCAUUCCACCUGAAGCCAGUGCCUCUGUAAUGUGUAGCAGAAUCCUAUGGAGAAGUUGUAAAAACACAAAAUGUUGGCCCCACCCCAAGAGUUUCUGAUUUUGCAGGUCUGGAGAGGGCCUGUGAUACGUACUUCUAACAAGCUCCCAGGCGAUGCUAAUGUUGCUGGUCUAGAAACACACUUUGAGAGCCACUGUUUUACAAUGUAUUCACCCAGCUUAUGCAAUCAACUACUAUCACAGCAAAGUCCAAAGAAUGCUCCUUAUUUGUUUGUUAUACUGGAGUUUGGCUUGGCUAAAUAUUAUUUGAAACUGAAUGGCUGUUGAUUGUGGCUCAGAAACUGUUUUCUUCAUAGCGCUGCAAUUGGAUUUAUUUAUUAGAAUUUGAGCUGAAUGUUGUCGUACAUUUUGGUUACAUUGGUUUCUCAGGAUAUUUUAUAGGUACAUGUUGUCUCUUUCUAAGUGCACUGUCACUUGAGGUGGGCCUGGGCCUUUUGUUCCUGUUUGUCCUUACUCUUCCACGGAGCUAGCAGUCUCCAGCACAGGGGUGAUCAGUUCUUAAUCACUGAAGACUAAUUAAUCUUUCAGUAUACAUGCUAUUUUAGUGAGUAAUUUUUGCCAGAAAUACUAGUGCUGAUGUAAAAUAAGGGUUAGGAUUAGGGAAGGAUUUGGCCUGAAUAAUUCAAUUUAUAUGUAUAAGUCAGGGUUCUCUAGAGAAAUAGAAUCAAUAGGGUGUGUGUGUGUGUGUGUGUGUGUGUGGUGGUGGUGGCAGUGCAGGGACAGAGACAGAGAGACAGGGAGGGAGAGAGAGAGAGGGACAGAAAGAGAGAGAGAGAUUUAUGAGAAGGAAUUGGCUCACACAAUCACGGAGGCUGAGAAGUCCCUAGGAUCUGCAGUCAGCUAGCUGGAGACCAAGGAGAGCUGAUGGUAUUGUUCCAGUCCAAGUCCAAAACCCUGAGAACCAGGAGAGAUGAUAGUGCAAGUUUCAGUCCAAAAGAUGCCAAAUUCAAGAUCCAAGAAGAACUGAUGUUUCAGUUUGCGUCUAAAGGCAGGAAAAGACCGAUGUCUCAGCUCAAGUAUCAGGCAGAAGGAGUGCCCUCUUAAAAAGAAUCAGCCUUUUUGUUCUAUUCAGGCCUUCAACUCAUUGGAUGAGGGCCACAUGCAUUAGGGAAGGCAAUCUGCUUUCCGCAGUCUGUGCAUUCAUAUGUUAAUCUCAUCCAAAAACACCCUUACAGACACACCCAGAAUUAUGCUUGACCUAAUACCUGGGCACUCCACAUCCCAGUCAAGUUGACACAAAAUUAACCAUCACACUAUAUAUGUAUAAUCAUUAGUUAAAUGGAAAUUGGUUCACUGUCCAAAUUCCUCUACCUUUUGCCUCAAUGAAAAAAAAAAUGGUUGCCUGUUCACUCUGAUGGUAGUUUCUUUUGCUGUGUG